UACGUAGGUGGCAAGCGUUAUCCGGAUUUAUUGGGCGUAAAGGGAACGCAGGCGGUCUUUUAAGUCUGAUGUGAAAGCCUUCGGCUUAACCGGAGUAGUGCAUUGGAAACUGGGAGACUUGAGUGCAGAAGAGGGGAGUGGAACUCCAUGUGUAGCGGUGAAAUGCGUAGAUAUAUGGAGGAACACCGGUGGCGAAAGCGGCUCUCUGGCCUGUAACUGACACUGAGGCUCGAAAGCGUGGGGAGCAAACAGG
rnacentral:rRNA from 1 species